rnacentral:rRNA from 1 species
GAUGAACGCUGGCGGCGUGCUUAACACAUGCAAGUCGAACGGAAAGGCCCAAGCUUGCUUGGGUACUCGAGUGGCGAACGGGUGAGUAACACAUGGGUGAUCUGCCCUGCACUUCGGGAUAAGCCUGGGAAACUGGGUCUAAUACCGGAUAGGACGAUGGUUUGGAUGCCAUUGUGGAAAGUUUUUUCGGUGUGGGAUGAGCUCGCGGCCUAUCAGCUUGUUGGUGGGGUAAUGGCCUACCAAGGCGUCGACGGGUAGCCGGCCUGAGAGGGUGUACGGCCACAUUGGGACUGAGAUACGGCCCAGACUCCUACGGGAGGCAGCAGUGGGGAAUAUUGCACAAUGGGCGCAAGCCUGAUGCAGCGACGCCGCGUGGGGGAUGACGGCCUUCGGGUUGUAAACUCCUUUCGCUAGGGACGAAGCGUUUUUGCGACGGUACCUGGAGAAGAAGCACCGGCUAACUACGUG